AAAGCGCUCGGCUAGUCUUGAAAAAUAUGCUACUUUAAAACUCCGUCCUUCAAAAAUAUUGCACUUUUUCAUACUAAAAAAUAUUUAUAAAUUUUCUUAAUAUUUUAUUCAACACAAGUCAUUGGUUCUGAGUCAGUCACAUUAAGAAAAUUUAUAAAAUUUUCAUAGUAUGAAAAAGUGCAAUAUUUCUGAAGGAUAGAAAUUUUUAUAAAAAAUAGGUCAAAUUCCGAAGGACGUAGGGGCGACAUAUUUGAAAACAUAAAAUUGUUAUAUGUUGUUAAAGAAAGUUUUUUUUAAUAAAAAUAAUAGUUAAGUCACCGUUUCGCCCAAAAAACAGCAAAAAUCUACUAUUUUUUUAAUAUUCAAAUUGAAAAUCGUUUAUUUUUGGAUCCAUAAGAGAUAUUGACCUCAAAUCUUUUGUAUAUUAUUGGUAAUUUAGUUGUCUAAAAAUCGAAUCCAUUCGGUCCAAAAUUACGCCCUAUAUUUUUAAAAUAGCGGGCCAAGGUAUGGCCAAAUUUUAAAAUUUAAAUUUUAAAAUGCCUAUAACUCGAAAAUUAGAAGAGAUAAAUAGCACAUGCUAGCCGAGCGCUUUCCAAAAAUAUAAAAAUCUUUCAAAUAGGAUGGGAAACAAACGUAUUGGCACGUGUUUAAUUUUACAUGUCGAAGGUACCCUACUUCGAGCCCCCAUAACGCCGGAGCAUUUGUAGGAUCCAAUUUAAUAACUUAAACUCGAAUACUCCUUGGCUACGGUCACGUCAAAUUUUAUCCCGAUCGGACCAGCCGUUUAGAAAUGUCAGAUUUAUUUCCAAAAAAAAAUUCGAUUCAGCCACACUGUGCAUUCUGAGAGAAGGUAGAGUGGAAUGAGUAGAAUUUGUAAAUAGGUUUUUUAAAAGGCCUAUAAAGUGAAGCCCUAACAAUUUUUCCCGCUAGUUAAUAAAUAAAAUUGAAAUUAACAAACACUACUGCAAAAAUACUAACAAAACGACGUAAAUACUUUGAAAAACAGACAUACACAGAGAGAGUAAUUUACUCAAUCGAAAUAUUGUGACAGUGUCAAAUGUAAUGGAUCUCAUGAAAUCAGUGACGUUGAAGUGUUUUGUAAUUUUAGAAAGGCUUUUUAAAACGCUUUAAUUUAUUUGGCAGAAGAAACUUGUGAGAAUUGGCGCAAUGAGCGUUUAAAACAGUGCUCGACACUCAUAACACCUGGGACUUGAUCGGUUUAUACAAAUUAUUUUAAAAAAAUAAGAAAAAUCACAUUUUAUAGCUCACGCAGAACUGGCUGUCAUGUAGAUAGCGAACUGGCUGUCGUGUAGAUAGCGAAGACACUCGUAAUUCUUUUCCUCCCCCAGCUGACCCGUCAACUCCCAGCACCCCGUCAAUAGCAUGGAUUCCGUAAGAUGCACAGCAUUAUCCGCCAUAGUCACUCGAAUCCCAUAGGGUUUAAAUAAGCAGAGGCCUCGUGAACGGACUAUCCUAGUGGUCACACUCUUCCAGGACAUCCUGCAGUCCACAAUGCCCAAAAAUACGAAGAGAUGGAUAGUGAACUAUCUGAGUGGCAGGCAGUCGUUCGUGGAGUUUGGAGACAAAUGCUCAAAAUCCCGUAGAGUUAAACAAGGAGUUCCUUAGGGUGGGGUCCUCUCCUGUUUAACUUCUACCUCUCUAAACUUCCAGUGCACCCACAGGAUGUGAGGUAAUCCUCUAUGCAGAUGGCUUCACUAUCUUUGCGACAGGUCAUGACGUUGAUGAGAGAGUCCUUUAGGGCGGAGUUUUGUCGCCGCUCCUUUUUAAACUUCUACCUCUCUAAACUCACAGUGCUCCCACAUAGUUUGGAGGUAAUCACCUAUGCGGACGACUGGACUAUCUUGGCGACAGUUAGCACCAACGAAGUCAUCGACAACACUCUUGACCAUCUGGACGAAGGAGAUAAAACUCAACUUAGACAUCAUGGUCUAUGGCAUACAAAUUCCGACAGUGAACCACCCUAAAAUCUUGGGUAUCACUUUUGAUAGCCUUUUUACAUCAUCAGCAUACGCCCUGCAAUCACGCAUAAACCGAAAGAACUCUUGCUAGCUACCUAUAAGACGAUUGGUCGGUCAGUGGUCAAGUAUGCUGCUCCAGUGUGAUCGCCUUAGUUAAAAUGCAGCCUUAAGAACCGUCACAGGCUGCCUUCAAAUUACGUUUCAGAACACCACCUUCACGAGGAAACCUAGGUUCUAAAGGUCAAGAAACACAACGUCAUGUUGGCGCAAUAGUUCCUUCUGUUGGCGCAACAGUUCCUUUGGAUGACAUCUCCGGUGACAUGAAACUUCGACAUCAUAGAGUUGAAGUCUCAUAAGAGGCAUGUCAGACAGGAACUACGUAAACACAACGAAAGCAUACAGAGAUAUGUGAACGACAUUCAUAGAGACACCAUCAAUAACGCGGUUGCAGAAUACCGUAUGAAUACCUUACUUGGAGGUCGCCCACCACCUAUAGCAGACGCCGAGAAGAUUCUGCCGCGUAAAACAAGAGUCGUUCUGGCACAACUAAGAUCAGGAUUUAGCAACAUGCUUAAUACCUUUUGGACCAGCAUUGAUCGUGUCAUCCUCAACUUAUGUCCAGCAUUUGGUCAAGGUCCUCUUGACACUCUCCACAUAUUCAACUGUUCAGCCACUCGUCUAGUGUAUUUAUGAACUCAAUCAGGCGAAGUAGCACAAUUCCUUAGGCUUGAACUACAUGCAGAACCCCCUUAUUAAAUAUUUUAAAAUUGUUUAUGCUGCUACAACAUUCCAUGUUUUUAUAACCUACGUUCUCUUUAUGUAGUUGUUGUAACCGGUAUGCAGUCGUCGGAAGUUCUUCUCUGGAAAAAGAAAUUCCGGUUGUUGUUCUAUGGCCGAGUAAGACUAGGUUCGUUCAGUAGUGAUGAUCAAAUUGUCGUGGGAACAACAUUUCGCUUUAUACCGACCACUGGGUUUAAAAUAAAAAAACGUCAGUUUGUUUAACUUUUAAAUCUUAAUUUUAUUUUAACUUGUUUACGCAUCAUCAUUUUAAAAACUAAAUUCCUUCUUAUUUUUUUAUAAUUAUGUUUAUAUGCAAUAAUUAUUUAGUGUAUAAUGUAAAAUUAAAAAUAUUUUAAUUCCAUUUUUUUUGUUUUUUUUUUUUUUGUUUUAAUAAUUUUGCAGAAAACGUUUUUUUCUUUUCUUACAAGCUUAAAUAGGAGAAGGGGGUAACAUUCUCAAAUUAAAGUUAAAAAUAAAAUUACUAAUAUUUUCUUUAAAUAUGUAUUUAUAUAAAUAAUUAUUUAGAAGUUUAAAGGGCAAAUGGAUUAAAUAGUUAAAAGCGGCUUAUUUUAUUAAUUAAUAGAUUUAUUUAAUAUUUUGUUGAUGGUUUCUUUUUUUUGUUUUUUUCUUUUAAAAAUUAUAAAAAUAUUUAUGUUUUACUUAAAUUUUUAACAAAACAAUAAGCAUUUCAUUUCAAAUAAAACUUUAAAUAACUAAAAGCAAAUGUAAUAAAAA